rnacentral:rRNA from 1 species
AGUCCAGACUCCUACGGGAGGCAGCAGUGGGGGAUAUUGCACGAUGGGGGAAACCCUGAUGCAGCGACGCCGCGUGAGCGAUGAAGUAUUUCGGUAUGUAAAGCUCUAUCAGCAGGGAAGAAGAUGACGGUACCUGACUAAGAAGCCCCGGCUAACUACGUGCCAGCAGCCGCGGUAAUACGUAGGGGGCAAGCGUUAUCCGGAUUUACUGGGUGUAAAGGGGGCGCAGACGGCGAUGCAAGCCAGGAGUGAAAGCCCGGGGCCCAACCCCGGGACUGCUCUUGGAACUGCGUGGCUGGAGUGCAGGAGGGGCAGGCGGAAUUCCUGGUGUAGCGGUGAAAUGCGUAGAUAUCAGGAGGAACACCGGUGGCGAAGGCGGCCUGCUGGACUGCAACUGACGUUGAGGCUCGAAAGCGUGGGGAGCGAACAGGAUUAGAUACCCCGGUAGC